GGUGAAGUGGCCGAGUGGUCUAAGGCGUUGGAUUUAAGCUCGUAGAGUUGUGCUUCCCAAUGGGGGAAACCCCGCGCGAGUUCGAACCUCGCCUUCACCA
rfam:Fistulina hepatica ATCC 64428 unplaced genomic scaffold FISHEscaffold_92, whole genome shotgun sequence.